AGUCGAGGGGUAGGGCACUUCGGUGCUUGAGACCGGCGCACGGGUGCGUAACGCGUAUGCAAUCUGCCUUCCACAGAGGGAUAGCCCAGAGAAAUUUGGAUUAAUACCUCAUAGCAUCAUGACCCGGCAUCGGGAUAUGAUUAAAGUCACAACGGUGGAAGAUGAGCAUGCGUCCCAUUAGCUAGUUGGUAAGGUAACGGCUUACCAAGGCUACGAUGGGUAGGGGUCCUGAGAGGGAGAUCCCCCACACUGGUACUGAGACACGGACCAGACUCCUACGGGAGGCAGCAGUGAGGAAUAUUGGUCAAUGGGCGCAAGCCUGAACCAGCCAUGCCGCGUGCAGGAUGACGGUCCUAUGGAUUGUAAACUGCUUUUGUACGGGAAGAAACCCUCCUACGUGUAGGAGCUUGACGGUACCGUAAGAAUAAGGAUCGGCUAACUCCGUGCCAGCAGCCGCGGUAAUACGGAGGAUCCAAGCGUUAUCCGGAAUCAUUGGGUUUAAAGGGUCUGUAGGCGGUCUUGUAAGUCAGUGGUGAAAGCCCAUCGCUCAACGGUGGAACGGCCAUUGAUACUGCUGGACUUGAAUUAUUGGGAAGCAACUAGAAUAUGUAGUGUAGCGGUGAAAUGCUUAGAGAUUACAUGGAAUACCAAUUGCGAAGGCAGGUUGCUACCAAUGGAUUGACGCUGAUGGACGAAAGCGUGGGUAGCGAACAGGAUUAGAUACCCUGGUAGUCCACGCCGUAAACGAUGGAUACUAGCUGUUGGGCGCAAGUUCAGUGGCUAAGCGAAAGUGAUAAGUAUCCCACCUGGGGAGUACGAACGCAAGUUUGAAACUCAAAGGAAUUGACGGGGGCCCGCACAAGCGGUGGAGCAUGUGGUUUAAUUUCGAUGAUACGCGAGGAACCUUACCAAAGGCUUAAAUGCAGACUGACCGGUUUGGAAACAGACCUUUCGCAGACGGUCUAC
rnacentral:rRNA from 1 species